GGAUGCAUGAUUGAAAUGCUAAUAAAGAAUGCAUGUGAUAUGUGCCAAAUAAAGAAUGUAUAAGAUGUAUGUUGAGAAAUGCAUGUUGUCAUAAUAGGAAAUGCUAAAAGUAUGCAUAAUGACAUAAUGUAAGAAUACUAAGCUAAUGUUUGAUGAAGCAUGAGUAAAAUGUUAAAGGCAUGUUGAGAUGUAUGUUAAGUACGCAUAUGAGCUAAAUGUAUGAUCCAUAUUGUGAGAAUAUGUUGAAAUGACAUAAAGUAGAAAACAUGCAUAAU
rnacentral:lncRNA from 1 species